UGUGUGGCCGUGACGCGGCGCCGGCGGCUGGGAGGGAGGCUGGGCCCGCUGGAGAGGGAGGUGAGCGGAUCGCUGGGGCUGCUCGGCUCCUGCGCGCCCUCGCGCUCCCCGCCGCCCGCCGAGGCGCAGGCAGGGCGCAGGCGGCGGCGGGCGGCAUGGAGAGCCUGCUGGAGAACCCGGUGCGUGCCGUGCUCUACCUCAAGGAGCUCACGGCCAUCGUGCAGAACCAGCAGAGCCUCAUCCACACCCAGCGCCAGCGCAUCGACGAGCUGGAGCGGCGGCUGGACGAGCUAAGCGCCGAGAACCGCAGCCUGUGGGAGCACCAGCAGCUGCUGCAAGCCCAACCUCCGCCCGGGCUCGUCCCUCCGUCGCCAGCCCCGCUGCCCAUCACCCCGGCCACAGCCGCCGCCGCCGCCGCUGGGGCCCAGGAACCGCUCCAGAACCACGGACAGCUCUCGCCCGCCGCGCCGCAACCUGCGCCGGAGCAGCCACCGCUUCAGCACCACGGACAGCUCCUGGUGCAGCCCCAGCCGGGCCCCAGCAGCAGGGCUCACGCACCCCAGUCUCCCCACCAGCACCCAGUGGCGCCCGGGGCCGUCGCCGACAAGGAGAAAGAGCGUCCCCCGAGUUGUUGCACUGCCGCUGGAACCCUCCUUCAGCACAAAUCCCCCGCCGCCCUCGGCAAGGGCGUCCUGAGCAGGAGACCCGAGAAUGAGACCGUGCUGCACCAGUUCUGCUGCCCAGCCGCUGACGCCGAGCAGAAGCCCGCCUGCUCCGACUUGGCGUCCCAAAGCGAUGGCUCCUGUGCCCAGGCCGGUGGGGGCAUGGAGGACUCCGUGGUGGCAGCGGCGGCGGUGGCAGCCGGCAGACCCAGUGCCCAUGCCCCGAAGGCUCAAGCCCAGGAGCUGCAGGAGGAGGAGGAGCGGCCGGGGGCGGGGGGUGCCUCCCCGAGGGCUGGCUCCCACCGCGCGGCCUCCCCCGGCCGGCAGCAGCCUGCCUUGGCGACGGCGCUCUGCUCCCACGCCCCUAACGCCUCCGAUUACGAGCUCUCCCUUGACCUAAAGAAUAAACAGAUUGAAAUGCUAGAACACAAGUACGGGGGCCACCUUGUGUCCCGGCGCGCCGCUUGCACCAUCCAAACCGCCUUCCGCCAGUACCAGCUCAGCAAGAACUUUGAGAAGAUCCGCAACUCCCUCCUGGAGAGCCGCCUGCCGCGGCGGAUCUCCCUGCGCAAGGUGCGGGCGCCCACGGCCGAGAGCCUGGCGGCCGAGAAGGCGCUCAUGGAGGGCUACGGCCUCAUGGGGCUGCCGCUGGUGCGCUCGCCCUCCCUGCCGCCCACCUUCGCGGGCACGCUCACCGAGCUGGAGGACUCCUUCACCGAGCAGGUGCAGUCCCUGGCCAAGUCCAUCGACGACGCCCUGAGCACCUGGAGCCUCAAGACCAUGUGCUCCCUGCAAGAGAGCGGCGCUUACCAACUCCACCAGGCCCUGCACGCGGGCGCGGGGCCACCCGGCCUGGAGGCCGAGAUGCGGGAGCUCAACAGCGCCCGCCCGGCGCCCGGGGAAGAGGCCGCCGAGGUCGCCGGCCUGCCCCAGGGCCACAGCAGCACCCUCAUGAUGGCUUUCCGGGACGUCACCGUGCAGAUCGCCAACCAGAACAUCUCUGUCUCCUCCGCCACGGCUCUGUCGGUGGCCAACUGCUUGGGCGCGCAGACCGCCCAGGCCCCGGCAGAGCCCGCGGCUGCGGGCAAAGCGGAGCAGGGCGAAGCCCCGGGGCAGGAGCCCCCCGAGGCCCCCACCGCGGGUCAGGGGGGUGCUCCCGCCGAGAACACGGGCGCAGAGGCGGGAGCCAGCGCCGCCUUGGGCGCGCACCCACCUGGGGCUGCCCAGGCCGUGGUGGAGGGGGCCUCGGUAGCGGUCUCAGAGGCAGAGGCAGAGGAGGAGGAGGCCGGGGAGGCGGGGAAGGAGACGGAGGCCGAGGCCGGCGACAACUCGGAGCAGCUGAGUAGCAGCAGCACGUCCACCAAGUCGGCCAAGUCGGGCUCGGAAGCAUCAGCCUCAGCCUCCAAGGAGGCCCUGCAGGCCAUGAUCCUGAGCCUGCCGCGCUACCACUGCGAGAACCCUGCCAGCUGCAAGUCGCCCACGCUCUCCACAGACACGCUGCGCAAACGGCUCUAUCGCAUCGGCCUCAACCUUUUCAACAUAAACCCUGACAAAGGCAUCCAGUUCCUGAUCUCCCGAGGCUUCAUCCCUGACACCCCCAUUGGAGUGGCCCACUUCCUGCUCCAGCGCAAGGGCCUCAGCCGGCAGAUGAUCGGGGAGUUCCUGGGUAACAGCAAGAAGCAGUUCAACCGCGAUGUGCUGGACUGUGUGGUGGACGAGAUGGACUUCUCCAGCAUGGAGCUGGACGAGGCCCUGCGGAAGUUCCAGGCCCACAUCCGCGUGCAGGGGGAAGCCCAGAAGGUAGAGCGACUCAUAGAGGCCUUCAGCCAGCGCUACUGCAUGUGCAACCCCGAGGUGGUGCAGCAGUUCCACAACCCCGACACCAUCUUCAUCCUCGCCUUUGCCAUCAUCCUCCUCAACACCGACAUGUACAGCCCCAACAUCAAGCCCGACCGGAAGAUGAUGCUAGAGGACUUUAUCCGAAACCUGAGAGGUGUGGAUGACGGUGCCGACAUCCCCAGGGAGCUGGUGGUGGGCAUCUAUGAAAGGAUACAGCAGAAGGAGCUCAAGUCCAAUGAGGACCACGUCACGUAUGUCACCAAGGUGGAGAAGUCCAUUGUGGGCAUGAAGACGGUGCUGUCGGUGCCCCACCGCCGCCUGGUCUGCUGCAGCCGGCUCUUUGAGGUGACAGAUGUCAACAAGCUGCAGAAGCAGGCUGCGCAUCAGAGGGAGGUGUUCCUCUUCAACGACCUGCUGGUGAUUCUCAAACUUUGCCCGAAGAAGAAGAGCUCCUCCACAUACACGUUCUGCAAGUCAGUGGGCCUGCUGGGCAUGGGGUUCCACCUCUUUGAGAAUGAAUAUUACUCUCAUGGCAUCACCCUGGUGACCCCGCUUUUGGGCUCUGAGAAGAAGCAGGUGCUGCAUUUCUGUGCCCUGGGCUCGGACGAGAUGCAGAAGUUUGUGGAGGACCUGAAGGAAUCCAUCGCUGAGGUGACAGAGCUGGAGCAGAUCCGGAUAGAGUGGGAGCUGGAGAAGCAGCAGGGAGCAAAGACGCUGUCCUUCAAGUCCAGCGGGGCACAGGUGGACCCACAGACCAAGCACGGGUCGCCUACAGCCAAAAGGGAAGCUGCCCUGGGGGAGAAGCCGGUGGAGAGCACGGUGGAGGUAUUAAUCAAUGCCUCCCCAGCCCGACUCACCAUUUUACCAAUUUCAAGAGAUACAAUUAAAAGUUACUGCUAGCAUGGGUAAUGCCACUGUUCCAGCACCUAAUAAUGCCACAGCACUUUCUGCCCACUCCCCAGCUGAGUGCCCUCCGAGGCCGAGCUCCCAGACCAACACCUGCAGAGAUGCCCAUGCCGCCUCCGUAGCGACCCCACCCAUCCCCCAACCCACUCCCCCAGCAGAUCGCUCACUGAUCCUCCUAGUACCUGCUCUAUCAGGGAAGCCACUGUUCCCUUUUCCUCAGUUGCCCUAUCCUCCAUAGGAGGGAGCCUGGGCCCCUCCAGAGACUCACCCCUCAAGUCCAGCCCCAGUGACCACUUCCACCCCGGAUCCUGCCCUCAGCCGCCUCUUGGGGCAGGUGGAGAACUGGAGGGGGCAGCUGGGAGGGUGGAGCUCCUCCCUGGACCGGCUGGUCCAUUCGGAAAGCUGGCCAUGGCGUAGGGGUGUGUGCAGGAGCUGAUGAGGCAAAACAGGGUUGAGUCAUCCUAGGGAUUUCACUGGGGGUGGGGAGCACGUAAAUUUGAAGACUGUCCGUGUGGGAGGGGGGUUGCCCAUCCCCAAGCCACGUAGCCACAGAAGCUGGUCCUUGCCAGGCCACCAAGUGUCACCUGGGGGGCAUUCAGUGGCCCCUACAAGCUUUGCUGGGGCCCGGUCCUCCCCCACUGCUCCCCAGUGAGCCUUCCCCUCCCACUCCUCUGCCAGGCUUCCAGGGACUACUAGCUUCUCACACAGACACCUCCUUUCCCAGCCCCACCCCAAGCUGGAGGAGCCCCCACUUAGAGGUCUGAGGGAGGAGCCUGCCCACCAGGAUGCCCCAGGGGAGCCCCGUGUCUUCCCUCUUUCCCCAUGGCCCCCACCCCCCACACACCUGUGUCUGGAGGAGGCACCUUUACACGGAGGAGCUUCCUGCCCCGGCAGCUGACAAGCCCCCAGGGCUUCAAACGUCUCAGCACAACCCCGGGCUGGGGGCCGAGAGGGGAGCGCCGGUGCCACUGCCAGACCCACAGCCUAGCCCCUUGAGGGAGCAGCCCCCGCCGCUGCCGCCGCUGCCACCCACACCCCCCGGGACCCUG